UACAGAGGGGGCAAGCGUUGUUCGGAAUUACUGGGCGUAAAGGGCGCGUAGGCGGCCCGCUAAGUCGAACGUGAAAUCCCCAGGCUCAACCUGGGAACUGCGUCCGAUACUGGCAGGCUUGAAUCCGGGAGAGGGAUGUGGAAUUCCAGGUGUAGCGGUGAAAUGCGUAGAUAUCGGAAGGAACAUCAGUGGCGAAAGCGACUUCCUGGACCAAUACUGACGCUCAUGUGCGAAAGCGUGGGGAGCAAACAGG
rnacentral:rRNA from 1 species